AUCGACCUCCACUGAUUAUAUUUUUUAAAUAAAUUAAAUUUCCUUCUAAGCUUUUCUCUCCGCUUCGAUUUCGAAUCACGGAAGACCUUCCUUUUCUGGCACCGCCGCAAUUUUCUCCGGCAGAAAAGAAAAAAAAACCCCUAGAAAUUGGAAUUGCACAACGACGACGGACGGAGAGGGUUUGAGUAUUGAAUUCGAUUUCUAUCUUCUUAUCCCCUUCCCAGAUUCAAAAAACAUAAAAACCCUAGCCCUAAAAUCCGCGUUCGAUUGGCUUUACUGUUCUGUCGGAAUCCCAUCAGUUUCGUGUUUUUUCUUUUUGCAUCUUCCUGUCUCUUAUUGGAGCUAUAUCUAUCUGUCUAAACACACACACACACACUCUUGUAAGGAAAGGUGAAAUGAGCAGGCUUUCUUUCCGUCCACGGCCAUUAGACAUUCACAAGAAGCUCCCCAUUUUAAAAUCUCUUAAAGACUUCGAAGACGACGACACGCCGACUUCCGCCACUAGAAACUCUCAGCUCCUGCGUAUUGCUUCUUCUUCUGUAGAUGUUGACAAUGAGCAGCAGGUGCAUCCAGUGGUGCCAAGCAAGAAACUUGCUUCAGAGAUACCAACGCCUCAGUUUGUUGUUGUGGAUACGUAUGAGAGGGAUUAUUUAGCUACUUUUGGUCAACCUCCUUCUUAUCUACGUGCUAGAGGAGCUCGGUCUGAACUUGGAGAGUUUGUGGAGUAUGAUCUUGACAAUGAGGAUGAUGACUGGCUUUAUGUGUUUGAUAAGGACAACUCCAAGCAACUUUCUCCUGAAAUGCUAGAGAGCAUUAUUUUUAAACUAGAGGUGUUGGAUCACAAGACGCGGGAGAGAGCUGGAGUUAUUGCACCUACCCUUGGUUCCCCCGUUCCUGUGCUUUUGCAGCUUGAUGGUGCUAUUGAGGCGCUGCAAUCACUGUCUGUUAAUUAUGGAGUCUUCCAGGCUAUCUUCAACUACUGGAAAGACAAGCGCAAAAGAUGGCAGAAGCCUAUCUUGCGGCGUUUGCAGGUUUCCUCUCCACCGGUCAAUGACACCAAUCCCUACAAUGUGUUUAGGCCCGGGAGAAAGCUCACAGACUCCACACAAGAAGGAUGCAAAGGAGAGAAAACAAUGUGCAGUCAUUUGAAAAGCUUCGACAGGUUAGACGCAAUCUUGACCAAGCGAAGAUCAUUCUGGAGGCUCUCAUUAAGAGAGAAGAAAAGAAGAGGGAUGUCAUGGACGGCGAGGUUAGCCUUCAGAGAAUGCAACUCCAAUACAGGCAUGAAACAGAGCUCUUGGAAGAGAGCUUGGCUUUGCCUGGAUUUCCACCAGCUACGACAACAUGUUACAAAUUUGGCUCAAGCGACGAAGAGUUGAUGGACUCAGAUGACUACACCAGCACACAUGUACGCACAAGACCAUCCGUUAUCCCUAGCUCUCGUUUCACAAACUCAAACCUUAAUGCAUCUCAACCCGGAGGCAUAAAACAAGAAGUCAGAAGACGACACUCGCAUCACAAUUGGCUUCACAAACUGGAUCCUAAUGAACCGGUGAUGCUGUUCACGAAACCGCUGGUUUCAGAGAAACUGGCAGCUGCGGGGAUCGUUCCUCCAGCACCUGGUUCAUCGUCGGGUCAAGCUCAAAGUCGGUUUCAGGGGAGGAUGGGGCGUGGUGGCCGGAUAAUAUUCGACAGAUGGAAUCCUUUGAUGCAAUCUCACAUUAAUUGUGGAAACUCUUUCUACAUUGCCCCAAAUCAUUGAUCUACCAACUUCAACUGAAAAAAAAAAGAAACAUUUCACAGAUCUUUCUUUGUAAAGAAGUGUAUGCAAGAACUAUGAGUUAAGGUAGUGGUGCACUUUGUAAAGGGAAUGAUUCGGUUAAACCUUCAUCCUGUUAUAUCACCGGUUCAGAAAUUCAGUUGAUAUUGUACCA